AGCGAACGCUGGCGGCAGGCUUAACACAUGCAAGUCGAACGGGCGUAGCAAUACGUCAGUGGCAGACGGGUGAGUAACGCGUGGGAACGUACCUUUUGGUUCGGAACAACCCAGGGAAACUUGGGCUAAUACCGGAUAAGCCCUUACGGGGAAAGAUUUAUCGCCGAAAGAUCGGCCCGCGUCUGAUUAGCUAGUUGGUGUGGUAACGGCGCACCAAGGCGACGAUCAGUAGCUGGUCUGAGAGGAUGAUCAGCCACAUUGGGACUGAGACACGGCCCAAACUCCUACGGGAGGCAGCAGUGGGGAAUAUUGGACAAUGGGCGCAAGCCUGAUCCAGCCAUGCCGCGUGAGUGAUGAAGGCCCUAGGGUUGUAAAGCUCUUUUGUGCGGGAAGAUAAUGACGGUACCGCAAGAAUAAGCCCCGGCUAACUUCGUGCCAGCAGCCGCAGU
rnacentral:rRNA from 1 species